UACGUAGGGUGCAAGCGUUGUCCGGAAUUAUUGGGCGUAAAGAGCUCGUAGGCGGCUUGUCGCGUCGGUCGUGAAAACUUGGGGCUUAACCCUGAGCUUGCGGUCGAUACGGGCAUGACUGGAGUUCGGUAGGGGAGACUGGAAUUCCUGGUGUAGCGGUGAAAUGCGCAGAUAUCAGGAGGAACACCGGUGGCGAAGGCGGGUCUCUGGGCCGAUACUGACGCUGAGGAGCGAAAGCGUGGGGAGCAAACGGG
rnacentral:rRNA from 1 species